UAGGGAAUUUUCCGCAAUGGGCGAAAGCCUGACGGAGCAACGCCGCGUGAGGGAUGAAGGUUUUCGGAUCGUAAACCUCUGUCUAGAGGGAAGAUAAUGACGGUACCUCUGGAGGAAGCCACGGCUAACUACGUGCCAGCAGCCGCGGUAAUACGUAGGUGGCAAGCGUUGUCCGGAAUUACUGGGCGUAAAGGGCGUGUAGGCGGCCUUUUAAGUCAGACGUGAAAUCCAUGGGCUUAACCCAUGAAUUGCGUUUGAAACUGGAGGGCUUGAGGAUCGGAGAGGGCAGUGGAAUUCCCAGUGUAGCGGUGAAAUGCGUAGAUAUUGGGAGGAACACCAGUGGCGAAGGCGACUGCCUGGACGACACCUGACGCUGAGGCGCGAAAGCUAGGGGAGCAAACG
rnacentral:rRNA from 1 species